rnacentral:rRNA from 1 species
GAUGAACGCUAGCGGCAGGCUUAAUACAUGCAAGUCGAGGGACAGCACAGGUAGCAAUACUGGGUGGGAACCGGCAAACGGGUGCGGAACACGUACACAACCUUCCUUUAAGUGGGGGAUAGCCCAGAGAAAUUUGGAUUAAUACCCCGUUAUGUAGUUGAAUGGCAUCAUUUGAUUAUUAUAGCUACGGCGCUUAAUGAUGGGUGUGCGGCUGAUUAGAUAGCUGGCGGGGUAACGGCCCACCAAGUCUACGAUCAGUAGCUGAUGUGAGAGCAUGAUCAGCCACACGGGCACUGAGACACGGGCCCGACUCCUACGGGAGGCAGCAGUAAGGAAUAUUGGUCAAUGGACGCAAGUCUGAACCAGCCAUGCCGCGUGAAGGAUUAAGGUCCUCUGGAUUGUAAACUUCUUUUAUUUGGGACGAAAAAGGGCCUUUCUAGGUCAACUGACGGUACCAGAUGAAUAAGCACCGGCUAACUCCGUGCCAGCCGCCGCCGUAAAAC